rnacentral:misc_RNA from 1 species
CGAGGGGCGGUUGGCCUCGUAAAAAGCCGC